AUAUAUGGACUUCCUCCCUUUAACGAGGCAAGCCUGGGGAUCGUUAGGCUGGGGUGCUUGGGCUUAAGAGGGCUAGCAAACAGACAUGUGGGGAAGUUGGAGUUGGAAGAGGAGCUAGAGAAGCUAGGGCUAGCAGAGGACAGGCAGGAUCUGUGUGAUCGCCUGGAAGCACGGAACGCCCUGAGAGAGAGAGAGAGAGAGACAGGUGGAAGGUGUUGGACGACUGGAGCAUAUAGGAGGUCUAGCAUGGAUAUUUAACUGCAGUUCUGUGAGUAUCCCACCUUAACCAUGAAGAUGAACUGCAAACUGUAAGUCAUUCGUUUCUCAUUACUCUUGGGCACAUUGUAUUUUGGCUUCCUGGUGAGUUAACCCGUUACCUGAAGGUUGAUCUGUGUAGUAAAGAUGUUUUAUUGGUUCAUGGGUCAUUUAGGUGUUUGGUUUAUGUUGGUUUUAAUGAUUUGUUAAAAUGGUUACAGGCUCCAAGUUAUUGUUGUAAGAUUGAGUAAUGGGUUGGGUUCUGAUAUCUUCAGUCUUCUUUCCAGUUGCUCUCCUGAGCUCUGCAUCUUCACCACAUGAGUUGCUUUACUGAGGAGGGUGUGGUCUGAGUGAGCAGAGGUGCAUACUGGGAUACAGAGCUGUCUGAAGUCUACAGGUCUGUAGACGCGCCCGCUCAGGGGAAACCGAGUGUUUGAGAAACCGUCGUGACGUCAGUUACAUGGACUGGAAUGUUCUUUAAGAUGGAGACAGGGAUUCAGAAGGAGAAACACCAGGGAGUGAUGAGGGGGCUCCUCAUCUCAACGACUAAAACACAACUUCAGUCUGACACAGAACCAUGGAACACGUUCAACAGUCCCCUCCAGGCAUCCUGACUCCUCCAGGAAUGGUUUUUCCAAGAAGGUCUUAUUUGGGGCCACUCCAAGAUGGAUCCUGCUCCUCAAGAGCCACUCCCCUCCACUGGGUGGUCUUCUGAACAGAUGAUCUCCUUCCCGUCCUCAGGCUGACUAAAGCUGCACCGUUUGCAUCUGUGAAGGCCCCUCAGUCAGGAAACCACUGGACUACAAAGACAUGACUUCAGAGAUGUUAAAUCAACCUGGGAGACAUUUUUGGAGACGCCAAGCAUAAUCCAUCACCAAUGUGGGACGCCACUGAAGAAUGUUGUACAUAAUUUACGUCUUUGGAGACAUUGGUUGUUCUGUUCUGGGUGCCCUGGCAGGAGAGCUGGGGUUGGAUGAUGGAAUGUAAUUUGGCAUGAGGUUUUUACCCUGCAUGAUUGUUUGGCCUUUUAUGGCUCGGUGGUGUGUGUGUUUGGGUUUGACAUGAGAUGGAUGAUUUUUGAGCGUCUCCAGGGUUCUACUGUGUGUGUCUCCCACUCACACCUGGCAUGGGGUUCUACGUGCCUGUCCUGGGUUCUAUGUGUGUGUGUGUCCGGCUUGCUUCGACAGUGAUCAUGUUCAUACGGGGUUCUGUGUGAUUGGCUUGGGAUAUUGGAAUGGUCGAUUAAAUCAUACCUGAUGAAUGGUCACAUGUUUACUUAAGGGCCUCCAGUAGACAUGAAGAGCCCUGAGCGACACUCCGGAGUGAUAUCCAACACGCUGGGCAGGAAGGAGAGUAUUCAACUCAAGUGUAAAAGGAUGCAAGCGGCGUGUUCAGAUCAGUGACUUCAAACUAGGACUACACCAAUCAGGAUCAACGGAGGAUGGACAACUAAAGGCAUUCCACAAGGAGAGUCUGAAGUUGGAAAGGGACCUAUAUGGAUAUUCAAGAUGACCUUCAGACCUGUAAUGAGACGGCUCUUCCUACCUGGGUGGAUUGAUGGAGAACCCUGUGGAUCUUGUCUUGCUCUCAGUUGCACGUCUUCUCAGGCUGAACUGCAUUUGUUUCGGACAGGACCAGCUGAACGAGUUGUGCUCUUCAGCUGAGGAGGUAAGGAAACCUUCACUGGGGCUUCAAGGUGUAAAGAGGAGAAUGUUUCAAAGUGUUCCAUGGUACUCUGAUGAGGACUGUUGUUGUGCUCCACUGGCUGAGAAGAAGAACCCUCACAUCUUCCUCUUGGCCUUUCUCCUCUGAGAAUCCUGGCGCCAUCUUGAAGGAUAUUCAAGCUCAUGUAACUGAUGUCACGAAAGAUUCUCAAACACUUGGUUUCUCCUGAGGGGCGUGUCUAUAGAACUGAAGACUUCAGACAGCACUGUAUCCCAGCAUGCAUCUCUGCUCACUCAGACCACACCCCCAUGAGUAUGAUGCAACACUCUAGUGAUGGAGAUGUAGAGUUUUAUAAGUAACGAGGGAGUAGACAAAGGUGAUCAGAACACAAUGGCAUGUCAAGUCUGUAAAUCUUUAAACCAUGAAGACGGUUGGAUAGUUUAGGAAUUGGGCUUCUUUAUAUUAUGGGCAGUCCUUUCACUCAGAUGCCCACUUCUCACUGCACCUGUACAUGUGUUGGCUGGCUGGCAUGAUUUGCUGUUGGUGUUGAGGCGGUCAGGGUGACGUUGCAGGGCUAUGGUCGGCUCUCUGUGAGCUCAACGUUUAGAUUUGCUCUGUACGGUUUGUAGUGUACCCUGAAUAAUCUAGAUAAUUGUAAAAUGUAGACACGGUUUUGUAUUGAAUGAUUCCAGGAUUUUAGGUUUAAAGUUAUUGCGGGACGUACAUGGUAGUUUGGUUAAUGGUUUUGAGUGACAUAACUUGUACUCACUGGGUGCAUUAUAAUGUAAAGGUACACUGAAUAGUAGUAAUUACCAACAGCAACAAACAGAUCUCCUCAAGGUAAGUCUGUUGGCUGUGUUUUAUUGAAGACCAUCGCUGGACUUCAGGAUCUUCCUCCGUUCAGCUCAAGGUGAGGCGCUGGUUCUGUUUUUUCUUUGGUUGGUUCCGGCUGGAAUGUUCGGAUUCCAGUCGGACGGUUUGUGCUUCCCGCCGUGGAAGGUUCUGAGUGUGGUCACUUGAUUUAGUCCUAAUGGUUAGCAUAGAAUGUUGUAGUCUUGAUAACGAUAAGAAACCACCUGGCAGUUAGUUGGUCAGGAGACCCCUGAGGGAAUCUGGCGGAACGUUCUGGAUUGUAUUUGCGUAACCUCGAGCCGUUGCCAACGGAAACUAUUUCAGUCGGUUUCCAUUGGGAAUUGUUGCCCCUUAUCUUAAACAACUUAGUUUGAUAUUAAAUACAUACUGACGCGUACGUCGUACAAUAUGUUGAUAAUUUCCGAUGGUUGCGCCGUAAUUUUAACAACGUUGACGUGACGAGACUCUCGCUGCGUACAAAACGGCGUUCUACUUGCGGGCCCAAUUUUGACAUCAGUGAAGGCUGAAAAUCAUUUCAAGAUGGAAGACAAUUUGACAUUUCUUCAACGGAACCCAGCACCUGAAUAUGGCUGAGUAUAUUUGAUUUAAUAUCGAUACUGCUUGGUGUUCUUUGUUACUUCAGCUUUUGUACGUUCUAAAUAUUUGCUGUCAUUAAUUGCCACAGAAGUUAAACCCUACCCAAUGGAAUGACGUUAAACAAUGACUUUGGUGCAGAGUUACCAACUGGAUAAUAUCAAAGCUAAUAUAAUGGCCGUCCUUCCCACAUGUUACAGUAGAAGAUACUCUAGAACUGUACAAGGUUAAAAAGUUAACAUGUAGUUUGUCCCAAGGUGUCUGCCUCCUCACCCAGAGCCAGACCUCCACCUCCUCACCCAGAGCCAGACCUCCACCUCCUGUCAGAAGUCCUCCAGAACAGCUGAAAGGCGAGGCUGAGAGGCUGGGGACCGGAGGCUUGUGGUGCCAGGAUGGACCGGAGACUGAGGCUGGAGACCAGGGACCUGCAGCACCGGACCAGAGGACCAGGAAUCCAUGGCUGAAGGAGCUGAUGGAGGAGCCGUGCUGAAGGAGCUGAUGGAGGAGACGUGCUGAAGGCCCUGCCUGGUGGAGGAGCUGGUGGAGGCCCUGCCUGGUGAAGGAUGUCUGUCGUGAGACCAGGACUCUGUCUGAGGAGAGCUGCUGGAGGAGCUGAGACGCUGGAGGACGACUAGGAAUCGACCAACAAGGAUUCCUCUUAAGUUUUUAUUUACUUAGAUGGUUGACCUAAAGGGAAAAAUACAGCUGUUACUUUGACAUGCGUCAACCAACUACCGCUGUGUUUUCUUACUAGAACGUGUUUCUGGAGCGGAGGCGAGUUGGUAGGGGAGCCGUGAAUCUGGAGGAUGACCAUCACUCUACCAACAAGGAUUGUAAGUUUGUAUUAACCACACAAACUGGAAAUAAAGGGCUUAAAAAUAAUACAAUCUACAUGUUUGUUACCAGACGUCAGGGUCAGACUCGUGCUGUUUGUUCCAAACCAGGACUCUGGCUGAGGAGAGCUGAUGGAGGAGCCAAGACUCUGGAGGACGACAUCACUCUACCACAAAGGAUCCUCGUAAAUUUGCAUAAAAUAAACAGAGUGGACUUGUUCUAACACAGGAUUAGUUUGUCCAGUACAAGUUACGGCAUAGUACUGUGGUUGUUUACCAGACAAACUAUAGCUGCUACUUUGUUACGUGCCAUUAGAGCCCAACUACUCCUGUGUUUGUGACCUUAGAGACAAACUACUACUGUUUGUUACCUUACAUUAAAGCCCAACUACUCCUGCGUUUGUUACCUUACAUUAGAGACAAGUUACUACUGUGUUUGUUACCUUUCAAGAGACAAAUUACGUUUGUAACCAGACCAGCAACUGAUGGAGAAGCCGUACACCUGGAAGGCAAAUCCUGAGGACAACCAGGACUCUACCAUCAAGGACUCCUCACACACCUGAGCUGAACCCUACCUGAUCCUGUUUGGUCGGGGGUACACAUACCUGAGCUGAACCCGCCCUGAUCCUGACAUCCUGCUGGUCCCGUCUCCUCAGUUCAUCUGAGCCUCGUCCUCCAGAAGACCUGCUGAGCUCAGCAGUCUGAGGCUGAUGGAUCAAUGACCUCCAGUCGGGGUGAUCUUCUUGACCCCACAUACCAGGACUCUGUCUGAGGAGAGCUGCUGGAGGAGCUGAGACGCUGGAGGACGACUCGGAAUCGACCAACAAGGAUUCCUCUUAAGUUUUUACUUACAUGGUUGACCUAAAGGGAAAAAUACAGCUGUUACUUUGACAUGUGUUAACCAACUACCGCUGUGUUUUCUUACUAGAACGCGUUUCUGGAGCGGAGGCGAGCUGGUAGGGGAGCCGUGAAUCUGGAGGAUGACCAUCACUCUACCAACAAGGAUUUCUUUAGGGCUAGACUCGCGCUGUUUGUUCCAGACCAGGACUCUGGGUGAGGAGAGCUGAUGGAGGAGCCAAGACUCUGGAGGACGACAUCACUCUACCACCAAGGAUCCUCGUCAGUUUGCAUAAAAGACAAAUUACGUUUGUAACCAGACCAGGAAUCUGGAGGACUGAUGGAGAAGCCGUACACCUGGAAGGCAAAUCCUGAGGACAACCAGGACUCUACCAUCAAGGACUCCUCACACACCUGAGCUGAACCCUACCUGAUCCUGUUUGGUCGGGGGUAGACACACCUGAGCUGAACCCGCUCUGAUCCUGACAUCCUGCUGGUCCCGUCUCCUCAGGUCAUCUGCGCCUCGUCCUCCAGAAGACCUGCUGAGCUCAGCAGUCUGAGGCUGAUGGAUCAAUGACCUCCAGUCGGGUGAUCUUCUUGACCCCACAUGUAACCGUGUGCUUCCACACGCCUUUCCCUUACGUCUGUCACUAACCUCACUACUUCACUACUCUCUACUGCUUCCUCUUCUUCUUCCUUCUCUGUGGUUCGAACCUUUACACGGAAGGCGCGUCUUCCUGCCCUCGGAGGGUUCAGCGUUAGGGUUGAGAGUCAGGGUUUAGAGUCAGGGACAGAGCUGGUCAGGGAGGACUGCUUUUACACAAACCUCUUCACUUGCUUUCGGAAUGGUGGUGACAUUUUGAAAAGAUUCAUUUGGGAAAAUGUUUUCCUCUGCUUUCCUGUACAAAAUUGUAUUAAACUUCUGUCAAUUGUUUUUGUUAUUAAAAUCCCAUAAUGACAUCUACAUGUUUGGUGCGGUUCAUUUUAUUGUCCUUUAACUUGGUUAAUGUCAAGCUAAACUCCUGCAAUACAUUUAAUAUACAUGAUUGUUAUUCAGCAAUGUUUACAUAAUCCAUUUUGUAAAAAUAUGAAACGUCCAUAUUUCUACUAAAUUCAAGCCUAUUCAUGUAUUUAACAAUGUACAUACUGCCCCGCAGGCCAUUCUCUGCUACUACAACACGUUCAAUCCACCAACCCGUCUCACAUCAAUGUACUAUAGCAACGUCGGUUAUGGAGGUAUGUGUCUUUAUUA